AGAGUUUGAUCAUGGCUCAGGACGAACGCUGGCGGCGUGCUUAACACAUGCAAGUCGAACGGUUUCCUAUUGAAAGCUUGCUGGAUAUGGGAAAUAGUGGCGGACGGGUGAGUAACGCGUGAAUACCUGUCCAUCGGAGGGGGACAACGGCUGGAAACGGCCGCUAAUACCGCGUAAGCCGAGAGGUGAAAGGUUGCCUUCGGGCAGCCGCCGAUGGGGGGGUUCGCGUCCUAUCAGCUAGUUGGUGGGGUAAGGGCCUACCAAGGCGAAGACGGGUAGCCGGUCUGAGAGGGCGAUCGGCCACACUGGAACUGAGAUACGGUCCAGACUCCUACGGGAGGCAGCAGUGGGGAAUAUUGGGCAAUGGGGGCAACCCUGACCCAGCGACGCCGCGUGAGGGAUGAAGGUUUUCGGAUCGUAAACCUCUGUUGUACGGGAAGAAAGAAAUGACGGUACCGUACGAGGAAGCCCCGGCAAACUACGUGCCAGCAGCCGCGGUAAUACGUAGGGGGCGAGCGUUGUCCGGAAUUACUGGGCGUAAAGGGUGCGCAGGCUGUUAUGCAAGUCUGCUGUGAAAUGCACGGGCUCAACCCGUGAGUUGCGGCGGAUACUGUAUGACUGGAGUACUGGAGAGGAAAGUGGAAUUCUCGGUGUAGCGGUGAAAUGCGUAGAUAUCGGGAGGAACACCGGUGGCGAACGCGGCUUUCUGGUCAGUUACUGACGCUCAUGCACGAAAGCUGGGGUAGCAAACCCGGAUUAGAUACCCGGGUAGUCCCAGCUGUAGACGAUGAGUGCUAAGGGUGUGGGGUGUCGAGAGGCAUCCGU
rnacentral:rRNA from 1 species